rnacentral:lncRNA from 1 species
GUUAGGAGCUGUCUAGUGAUUUUAGGGUAAACAUAAGGAUUUGAUGUGUUUUUCCUUUAGUGCAUGCUUGACUGUACUUGACUGAUCCAACAAGCUUUAGUGUAUGCUAGGGUGUCGUUCCAAAUUUUCUGAAUUAGUACCUUUUGAUUCUGAAAUAGAGCGUUCUAUUAAGGCCCUUCGAGCCGAAAUCCGCACCUAUAGA